rnacentral:piRNA from 1 species
UAAGCAAGAUUUCCAAAAUGGCCU